UACGUAGGGUGCGAGCGUUGUCCGGAAUUAUUGGGCGUAAAGAGCUCGUAGGCGGCUUGUCGCGUCGGAUGUGAAAGCCCGGGGCUUAACUCCGGGUCUGCAUUCGAUACGGGCAGGCUAGAGUUCGGUAGGGGAGAUCGGAAUUCCUGGUGUAGCGGUGAAAUGCGCAGAUAUCAGGAGGAACACCGGUGGCGAAGGCGGAUCUCUGGGCCGAUACUGACGCUGAGGAGCGAAAGCUAGGGUAGCAAACGGG
rnacentral:rRNA from 1 species